GAGAACCAGAAGAAAAUUGUGACUCACCUUCCUGCAAGAACGCACUUUAUCAGACAGAGGCAAUGGGUUCCAGGAUUCCUGAGACUUGCUCACGGUCCCACUGCAUCUGAAUUCUAGACUAAGAAUUUUUGUCUAAAGAAACUGACAGAAGUGAAAAGAAAGGAAGAGAAAGAAGUCUAACAAGGAUAAAAGAAAAACAGGAAGAUCCUUUACAGGGAUGGAACGAACCAAUCUGAUGUCACAUAUUCUUAAGAGAUAUAAUGUGCCUUCCUGCUACCCGGGCCCUGGCCAACCUCACCAGAAGCCUUCAGACCUGCUCAUGACCCAGCAACUUAAGGGGCACCAUCUGACUUCACAGAUCCUCCUCCCAGCUAUGGCUCCUGUCCAUUCUGUCUGGUUGGUGCCUGGCCAUACAGAUUAAGUGUUUUGAAUAUCAUCCCAGAGGGGCCGUGGUAUGCAGCAGGGCUCUGAUGGCCGUCAGUGUCAAGAAAAGAAGGUUGCCUCCACUGAACAUGAGGAGGCCAGGAACGCUCCUGUGAAGAGGAGAAAAAGGAAAACGGAAGUGUCCUGUGCCCGCCUUUCCAGAGUACACCCCAGAUUCAUUCCUGGUGCUUCUGACAAGAUCAUAAGGACCCUGUUAUUCUCCAAAUAUGAAGAAACAUAUAACCCAGCUAGUGUUUCACUGAAGUCAGAGGCAGCAAGAGCAACAAAGAAAAAAAGCAGAGUAAAAGAUGCUAAAAUUAAAAUCUUGGCUUGGCUCUGUGAAUGAAAUCUCUUAGCACUAUCAGGACUACUGCCAGCCCAGAUGGUACUACUGUGAGCAUCAGAAAAAAGCAUCUCUUCCUCAAGACAUUUUACUGCCAUCUGCUGGGGAAAAUGUGCCAUACUAACUGCAGAUUCAUCGUGUCUAGAUGAGAAGGCCACCCACUAAACAGUGAUCCUUGAGGAGUGCACACCUGUAGAACAGUUUCCGGUAUCUUCAAACAGAAGAUGGAAUGGGCUAGAAAACCAUAGGGAAAUGGCUGACAAAACAAAUGCACCUGGCCUUCAGCUCCAGACUCACCUGGGGCUCAAUGUGGGGCAGUAACACAUUUAAGACUGUACUUUUGGUUAUGCAGUGAAGGGCUGGAAGCAUGCUGUCUGCACUGACCUGAGUCAGGUGCAGAAGUGAAACUGGUGCCUCUUUCUCUGUCCACAGAGAGCUCCACAUCUGAACUAUAUUCCAGAAAGAAGGUGAAAGGAAGUAACAAAAGAAAUACAUUUGAAAUUAUUUUAAGUAGGUUACUCUCUUUGCAGGAAGUUGUGGCCUUAUUCAAACUACAUUUCUCAUGUCAACAUAUUAGACAAAUGGCUCUAAUCAGCAAAUGCAAAUCAAGACCCCCUCAAUAAAGGGAAGUGCAACAGAAUAAAAGCUUAUUGAUCCUCUUGUUAUUGAUCUGGACCAUAUAUCUAGAUUUAUCUGUAUUCUAGAACCAGAAAAAAUCUUCAGCAUGCAGAAUUAAAUACAGAAAAGAAUAUUGAAAGUAAUAUGCUUUCUACAGUAUUUAAAACUAUCAGAGAUUAGGAGCUUAGGAAAAAGAGAUUAGGAAAAAGAAUGGAGCACAUUGCUAUGGCACCAGAUUCGCAGGUUCAUGAGAUUUGACUCAAAAUUCUUCUUUUCAGUCAAUACGCAUCUAGACUUGAACAUGCACUGAAAAGAACCAACAUGUCAAAAAUGUAACCAGUAGGGAGAAAAGUAACUAAAGAUCACAAUUAAUUGUACUUAAUUUAGAAAGAAAGUUUUGUUUUGUUUUGGUUUGUUUUACCAGUCAACUAUGGGAAAACAUUGCUUUUUAGUAGCAGGAUGUCUUGUGUUUUUAAAAAAUAUUUUUUGAAUAGUAAAAGCUGUACUUGUGCCUGUGCUUUAUUCUCAUUUGCACACAGGACAUAGACACUUGGAAGUUCCACCAUUAGCUCACAUUCCACACACGCAAAGCAGAACUUCACAAAUGCUUCCCAGGACAGCUCUUUUUCAACUAUUUCCUAUUUGUCAGUUUGGCCACCAACCUGCUAGUCUCCUAGGAUAGAAAUCUUGACCGAGUUAUUUUCUCUUUUCUUGCUUGCCUCCUUCCCUGUUUCUUUUUGUUCAGUGAAGAUAAUAAUAAUCUUGCCCCCUGCCUCCUUUGCUGGCUCUAGGGUGGUCCUCCCACCCCAUCCCCCCGAGAGGUUAAUAUGAAUCUACCUAACUUAUCUAUCCAACUGCUCGGGAAGCCACGUAGGUGGAAACACCACUCAAGUCCUCUACCAAUGUUAUUGUAACAAACUCAGUUAUUCCCUUCUUUGACUUUUUAAAGCACAGUUUCUGGAGUAAGAAAAACUGUUCUACUGCAUGAUUGCGGGCAAACUCAGAUUUUCAUAAGUGGGGAAAACAAUAGCCUCUACCCCUACAGUGUUGUUGGGAGGCUGAAGUGAAGUUCUCGGUCAUGAAGCAGGCUCAGUGAAUGGCAGCUGUUGCUACCAUUACUAUCAUCUCCUCCAUCUAUUCUCUUCCCACCACAGCCCUCAUUCAGGCCCACUUCACACUAGAUUGCCACAUGUGUCCCACAAACAGAUACUCGUGACUAAACACCAUCUUCCCUUGGAGUACUGGGUUCUGUAUACACAAAGAUAAGAAACAGCCUUUACUCUUAAGGAGGGUAAGUCUAGUGUCCAAGACAGAUAUAUACAGAUGAUUAAAAGCAAAAUUGCAGGAAGUUAGUACCUGGUGGGGCUUCUUUGGUUCAGUAACUAACACUUCUUUCUUAUCAAAGGUUA